GCUUAAUAAGUGGAUUUGUUUUCUUGUGUUUGGCUCUGAGUGUGUGUGUGUGGUGGAGGAAGGGACUUGGGGUGUUUGGG